ACUCAAAUGAAUAGACGGGGACCCGCACAAGCGGUGGAACAUGUGGUUUAAUUCGAGGCAACGCGAAGAACCUUACCAGGGCUUGACAUGCUCUCUAUGAAUCCUUGAAAGAGGAUUCUUCACUUCGGGUGGGAGAUGCACAGGUGCUGCAUGGCUGUCGUCAGCUCGUGUCGUGAGAUGUUGGGUUAAGUCCCGCAACGAGCGCAACCCUCAUCCUCUGUUGCUAACAGGUAAUGCUGAGAACUCUGAGGAAACUGCCGGUGAUAAGCCGGAGGAAGGUGGGGAUGACGUCAAGUCCUCAUGGCCCUUACGCCCUGGGCUACACACGUGUUACAAUGGCAGUGACAGCGCGCAGCCAACCCGCGAGGGUGCGCUAAUCGCAAAAAGCUGCCUCAGUUUGGAUUGUACUCUGCAACUCGAGUACAUGAAAUUGGAAUCGCUAGUAAUCGCGGAUCAGCACGCCGCGGUGAAUACGUUCCCGGGUCUUGUACACACCGCCCGU
rnacentral:rRNA from 1 species